UGGUCAAGUUAUUAAGGGUGCAGGGCGGAUGCCUUGGCACUAGGAGCCGAUGAAGGACGUGAUAAGCUGCGAUAAGCUUCGGGGAGUUGCACGUAAACUUUGAUCCGAAGAUUUCCGAAUGAGGAAACUCACUUAGAGUAAUGUCUAAGUAUCAGAGCGAACGCGGAUUAGCCCAAACCAAUAAAGUUUUCUUUAUUGGGGUUGCGGACAUAUCAUAACGAAGAGGUAUCGUAAUUGAAGAGGUUUGGAAAGACUCACCACAGAAGGUAAUAGUCCUGUAUGUUAAACGAGAAGACUUUAGAUAUGAUCCAGAGUACCCCGGGAGGGGAGUGAAAUAGAACCUGAAACCCUGCACUUACAAGCUGUGGAAGCACAUUUCUUGUGUGACCGCGUACUUUUUGUAGAACGGGCCAACGAGUUACGUUAAGUAGCAAGGUUAAGCACUUAAGGUGUGGAGCCGUAGCGAAAGCGAGUUUUAACUGAGCGUUCAGUUACUUGACGUAGACCCGAAACCGGGCGACCUACCCAUGAGCAGGAUGAAGCGAAAGUAAAAUUUCGUGGAGGUCCGAACCCACGAGCGUUGAAAAGCUCGGGGAUGA
rnacentral:rRNA from 1 species